rnacentral:rRNA from 1 species
GAUGAACGCUGGCGGCGUGCCUAAUACAUGCAAGUCGAGCGAACAGACGAGGAGCUUGCUCCUUCUACGUUAGCGGCGGACGGGUGAGUAACACGUAGGUAACCUACCUAUAAGACUGGGAUAACUUCGGGAAACCGGAGCUAAUACCGGAUAAUAUUUCGAACCGCAUGGUUCGAUAGUGAAAGAUGGCUUUGCUAUCACUUAUAGAUGGACCUGCGCCGUAUUAGCUAGUUGGUAAGGUAACGGCUUACCAAGGCAACGAUACGUAGCCGACCUGAGAGGGUGAUCGGCCACACUGGAACUGAGACACGGUCAAGACUCCUACGGGAGGCAGCAGUAGGGAAUCUUCCGCAAUGGGCGAAAGCAUGACGGAGCAACGCCGCGUGAGUGAUGAAGGUCUUCGGAUCGUAAAACUCUGUUAUUAGGGAAGAACAAACGUGUAAGUAACUGUGCACGUCUUGACGGUACCUAAUCAGAAAGCCACGGCUAACUACGUG